rnacentral:rRNA from 1 species
AUGUCCAACAUCCUUUUCACUAAAAAAUUCCUUGCAAAGCUCGCUGCCAUUAUCAGGAACUUCUGGUGGGUUGGAAUUAGAGAGGAGUCGGAUGCUAGAGCUAUGUACCUUAGGGCUUGGAAGGAUCUUUGUACUCCUAAGAAGAAGGGAGGCCUUGGUAUUAAGAACAUGCUUGCUAUGAAUAAAGGUCUUCUUCUUGCUUCGGCUUGGAGGCUUGCUGAAAAUCCUGAAGGACACCUCUACAAAAUUCUUCAGGCGAAAUAUUUUUCCCGAUUCUUCUAUUUGGAGAGCCUCUGCUAA